AGCGAACGCUGGCGGCAGGCUUAACACAUGCCAGUCGAGCGGGCACUUCGGUGUCAGCGGCAGACGGGUGAGUAACACGUGGGGACGUACCCUUUGGUUCGGAAUAACGCUGGGAAACUAGCGCUAAUACCGGAUACGCCCUUUUGGGGAAAGGCUUGCUGCCGAAGGAUCGGCCCGCGUCUGAUUAGCUAGUUGGUGGGGUAAUGGCCUACCAAGGCGACGAUCAGUAGCUGGUCUGAGAGGAUGAUCAGCCACACUGGGACUGAGACACGGCCCAGACUCCUACGGGAGGCAGCAGUGGGGAAUAUUGGACAAUGGGCGCAAGCCUGAUCCAGCCAUGCCGCGUGAGUGAUGAAGGCCUUAGGGUUGUAAAGCUCUUUUGUCCGGGACGAUAAUGACGGUACCGGAAGAAUAAGCCCCGGCUAACUUCGUG
rnacentral:rRNA from 1 species